rnacentral:lncRNA from 1 species
AGGAGAAAUAGGGAAUAUGAAAGGCAAAUAUUAACGUACCCAAAUUGUAUCUUGUCGAUUAAGAGGCUUCUGGAGGAAUAUGAGGACGUCGGUAGAGAGACAAAGACCUCUCCAGGAGGAAGGUAGUAUUCAGUAGGUUUGAUUGGUUAAAUAUGAUUAUGAUUACAAUUGCAAUUUGCAACCCCAAAAAUCUGGAGACGAAAAAGAAGAAAACAAGCAAGCACGAUUAAGGGAGGCCAGGUGUAUGACAACUUUCUACUUUCUUCCGCUAAAAUUAGAUGACGCGGGUAUUCGGGUUCACAUGUGCGGCCGGCAUAUAUAUAUAUAUAUAUAUGCACGGGGACGAUUUAAUAUAUGAAAGUAUCUUUUAAUUUAAAUUAAAAUUUAUUUUAAUCAACAACAAUAACAACAUACCAAGUGUAUUCCCAUAGAGUAGGAUCUGAAAAGGGUAGAGUAUACGCAAGAUCAUACCACUACCUCAGAUGAAGUAGAGAAAUUCUUUCCGAUAGACCUCGGCUUAGGAUUAAUAACAGUAUAACAAACACAAAAGAUAAGUGCAUAUAAAUUAGUACGGUAUGCAAAAAUAAACUAACAGCGCCAGCCACAAGAUAAUACUACAACCACAAGAUAAUUCUAAGGACUAUCUAACCAAAAUCAUAGACAUCACACAACACCACGAACAAGAAACUUUAGACACAAAAGAACGCUCCCCUACUGUUACCGGCGCACUCCCAUCCCUUAACCCUCUACUCUAGUCCGCGUCCUCCACACCUUCUUAUCAAGGGUCAUGUCCUCCUUAAGCUGUAACUGCUUCAUAUCAUGCCUAAUUACCUCCCUCUAAUAUUUCUUCGGUCUACCUCUAUUCCACCUAAAAUCAUUCAUAGUCAGUGUCUCAUACCUCCGCACUGGAGCAUUAGAGCCCCUCCUCAUCACGUGUCUGAACCAACAUAACCUCACUUCUCGCAUCUUGUCCUCCACCAAAGCAACUCCGGCCUUCUCCCUAAUAAUCUCAUUCAUCACUCUAUCUUUCUUGGUAUGUCCACACAUCCAUCGCAACAUCCUCACCUCCUCCACCUUCAACUUUUGUAUGUGGAGAUUAUUAACUGGCCAACACUCUACUCCAUACGAUAUAGUCUGUCGGACUGCCACUCUGUAGAACUUACCUUUAAGCUUCGGGGGCACCUUCUUAUCACAUAAACUCCCGAAGUGAGCCUCUGUUUCAACCACCCUGCCUCAAUAUGAUGCGUGACAUCCUCAUCAAUUUCACCAUUGCCCUAAAUCAUAGAUCUCAGAUACGUGAAACUCUCCCUCUUCUGAAUAGCCUGGGAGUCCAGCUUCACAACCACUCCAACCUCCUGCGAUACAUCACUAAACUUACACUCCAAGUACUCCGUCUUGGUUUGGCUUAACCGAAAUCCUUUAUACUCAAGCGUCUGUCUCUAAAUCUCCAACUUAUCAUUAACUCCUCCCUAAGUCUCGUCAAUUAGUACCACAACAUCUGCAAAUAACAUACACUAAGACACCUCUCUUUGAAUAUAUCUCGUCAAAACACCCAUCACCAAGGCAAAUAAAACUGGGCUAAGAGUCGAUCCCUUGUGCAACCCUAUCAAAACUGAAAAAUGCUUCGAAUCUCCACUUACCAUCCCCACACGAGUCUUCACACCAUCAUACAUGUCCUGAAUCGACUCAACAGAAUUUAUCCCCUUUCAGAUUACUUCAUCAAAAAAGAAAAAAAAUUAUGACCUAACAUAAUUUCAAGGAUUUCAAUAACUUCUGCUAUGAUAUUCAGUACUAUUUCUAUUCUCAAUUAAUUAGUCUGAUAUCAAUGAGCUACAAUCUAGUUCCAUAAAAUGUUUUGAUCCUUCUUCAAUGGAAAAGCAAAUAGAGCACCUUACUAACUUUUACAGCUACAACAUAAAAAAGUAAAGUUACAGCAAAACAAUCAUAAAAAAACAUAGAAAAAGGAACAAGAAAUUAAUAAUCACAUAUGUAUAUGAUAAAUUUUUUUUGACGCAUCCACAAUUUUUCGUCUGAAAACAUAGAGAAGAACAAUUUUAAUAUUGUAUAUAUGGAAUUAGCACUAUCAAAAGCAGAAAAAAUUAUUGAAAUUUGAUUAUUCGCAAAAGCGCAUAUGUACAUUUGAUAAAGUUUGAAUCUUUCAAGACACUCAACCGAAGGCAUUAUAAUUUAUUUGUUUUAAAUGAAGAAUAAUCAACAUAGGCAAAGGAAACAAGGAGAAAUAGACCGGUUGCUGGUGGUGAGAGGCGGCACACGGAAUUAGCUUAGAUGCAUGAAAGCUAACCCAAACACUGCGAUUUUUUUCUUUCUUUUUAAAAAGGAGAAAUAGGGAAUAUGAAAGGCAAAUAUUAACGUACCCAAAUUGUAUCUUGUCGAUUAAGAGGCUUCUGGAGGAAUAUGAGGACGUCGGUAGAGAGACAAAGACCUCUCCAGGAGGAAGGUAGUAUUCAGUAGGUUUGAUUGGUUAAAUAUGAUUAUGAUUACAAUUGCAAUUUGCAACCCCAAAAAUCUGGAGACGAAAAAGAAGAAAACAAGCAAGCACGAUUAAGGGAGGCCAGGUGUAUGACAACUUUCUACUUUCUUCCGCUAAAAUUAGAUGACGCGGGUAUUCGGG